UACGGAGGGGGCUAGCGUUGCUCGGAAUUACUGGGCGUAAAGCGCACGUAGGCGGCUUUGCAAGUUAGAGGUGAAAGCCCGGGGCUCAACUCCGGAAUUGCCUUUAAAACUGCAUCGCUAGAAUUGUGGAGAGGUAAGUGGAAUUCCGAGUGUAGAGGUGAAAUUCGUAGAUAUUCGGAAGAACACCAGUGGCGAAGGCGACUUACUGGACACAUAUUGACGCUGGGGUGCGAAAGCGUGGGGAGCAAACAGG
rnacentral:rRNA from 1 species